AGCCACCCAUUUAGCCCUCUCUUCUCUUAUUUUGAGAGUGGUUUUCGGCGCAGCUCUCUUCUCUUUCCCAAGUGGUAAUCAAAUCUGUGGCCAUUCCUGAUUCUGUCCCCUGUUGAGCUCUUUAGCUUGUUUCCUUCUCUACUGGGUGGGGCCGUUCCAGGAAGCAUUCCUGCUUCCCACCCACCCCCAGACAAAAUUCAUCAGUCCCUCAAACUGCAGUGUUCGCACCUAUGCUGUAGCUGGUGUCUAAUCCUGCCACUAAAAUCCUUCUCUCGGAUUACUGAGAACUCAGUGAUUCCCUUCGAGGAGCUCUUCUUGGUCUGCAUUUUCUCCAACCUCCAGCAUCUAGAGAACACUCCCUACUCCUUGAAAUGUCUUUCACAGCUUCUGGAGAACUUGCCUCUUCUGGUCUCCUGUUCUGUCUUCAUCCAACUUCUACCUGGAAAUUCUGCCAGGCUGCUCGUCUCUUGCUACUGCUCUGUGCCUUCAGUGUUUCUUCAGAGAAUGAAUCCCUUCAAGGAGUGGAACUCAGGAACCCCCAGAUUUGUAUUUCCAGUCCACCUGAGUUCCUGUCCAGGAUAUCCUUCCCCUCCAGAAAAGUUCUCAUAUAUUUAUUACUGAACCAACCUACUCAUGCAGAAGCAUAGAAACAAAGAGAAAAAAAUAUAUUUUCCUAACAAAACAUAUCCA
rnacentral:lncRNA from 1 species